GGAAGGGGUCUCAACCAAUUUCAAAAUAUCAAAAUGUUAGAUCAAAGUAUGUUCUGUGGUGACAGAGUAAUUGAGCUAUAAAACAUUAUGAAAAAAAAAUGAGAAAUUUCUGUUUGGAAAUUAAGAAAUAAAUUAAUAAAUAAUUAGUGUGUCACAAAAGGAACCACAAUGGAAAUUAGAUAAUACUGCACUUUGGACUGCAUGGCGAUCAAAAUUUGUAGAACACAGCCAAAUGUGCACCCAUAAGAAAAUGUGUAUCAGUAAAUGUAUCAAUUAGAAAAGAAAGAAGAACAAAUAUAAAUGAAAUGAGCAUCCAACUCAAGAAAUUAGGAAAAGUGCAGCAAGUCAAAACCAAACACACUGGAACGAAAGGAAAGAUAAUGAGGAGAGCAGAAAUUGGCAAAGUAGAAAACAAAUAUACAAUACACGUUACUGAUCAAAAAAGUCAAGAGGUGGUUCUUUGAAAAUACUAACAAGGUUAAGAAAGUCCUAUUAAGAUUGA
rnacentral:lncRNA from 1 species